GAUUGAACGCUGGCGGCAGGCCUAACACAUGCAAGUCGAGCGGUAACAGAUCCAGCUUGCUGGAUGCUGACGAGCGGCGGACGGGUGAGUAAUGCAUAGGAAUCUGCCCGAUAGUGGGGGAUAACCUGGGGAAACCCAGGCUAAUACCGCAUACGUCCUACGGGAGAAAGGGGGCUUCGGCUCCCGCUAUCGGAUGAGCCUAUGUCGGAUUAGCUAGUUGGUGAGGUAAAGGCUCACCAAGGCAACGAUCCGUAGCUGGUCUGAGAGGAUGAUCAGCCACAUCGGGACUGAGACACGGCCCGAACUCCUACGGGAGGCAGCAGUGGGGAAUAUUGGACAAUGGGGGCAACCCUGAUCCAGCCAUGCCGCGUGUGUGAAGAAGGCCCUCGGGUUGUAAAGCACUUUCAGCGAGGAAGAACGCCUAGCGGUUAAUACCCGCUAGGAAAGACAUCACUCGCAGAAGAAGCACCGGCUAACUCCGUGCCAGCAGCCGCGGUAAUACGGAGGGUGCAAGCGUUAAUCGGAAUUACUGGGCGUAAAGCGCGCGUAGGUGGCUUGAUAAGCCGGUUGUGAAAGCCCCGGGCUCAACCUGGGAACGGCAUCCGGAACUGUCAAGCUAGAGUGCAGGAGAGGAAGGUAGAAUUCCCGGUGUAGCGGUGAAAUGCGUAGAGAUCGGGAGGAAUACCAGUGGCGAAGGCGGCCUUCUGGACUGACACUGACACUGAGGUGCGAAAGCGUGGGUAGCAAACAGGAUUAGAUACCCUGGUAGUCCACGCCGUAAACGAUGUCGACCAGCCGUUGGGUGCCUAGCGCACUUUGUGGCGAAGUUAACGCGAUAAGUC
rnacentral:rRNA from 1 species